rnacentral:rRNA from 1 species
CCCUUAGAUGUCCUGGGCCGCACGCGCGCUACAAUGACACGUUCAACAAGUACUUUCCUGGCUUGGAAAAGUUUCGGGUAAUCUUUAUAAUACGUGUCGUGCUGGGGAUUGAUCUUUGGAAUUAUAGAUCUUGAACGAGGAAUUCCUAGUAAGCAUAAGUCAUCAGCUUGUGCUGAUUACGUCCCUGCCCUUUGUACACACCGCCCGUCGCUCCUACCGAUUGAAUGCUCAGGUGAGCCAUUCGGACUUUCAUCAUGCUGGUUUCCAGUUUUGAUGAAGGAAAGUCUUGCGAACCUUAUCAUUUAGAGGAAGGAGAAGUCGUAACA